rfam:Myotis davidii contig30161, whole genome shotgun sequence.
UGAUGGCCUCACCUACCCCUGAAGAUCCAGGUGGGCGAGGGAAUAGUCAAAGGGAUC